rnacentral:lncRNA from 1 species
AGUAUAUUGAGAAAUCCUACAAUCACUCUGAAAAAUAUUAUUAGUAAAUAUGAUUUAUACUCAAACACUUUUGACAUCAUCAAAAUCAAUUCUCGGGUUAAUAAUCUCUCUCUUUUUGAUGAUGAUAAAAUUCUUUAAAUACUAUCUUUCAAGUACUAAAAAGUUUAAAAAUUUUUACUAAGUAUUUUUAGAUUUUCUAUGAAGCUUCUCCUAUCUUAUGUAGAGAGUGCACGAUUCCUGAUAUAAUUUUGUUUAAGUCAACUUUUAAUAUCACAUCAAAUUUUAAAUAUUUUGAAAUAAAUUUUUCAAACAAAGCUCCCCCUUUUAUUGUAAAGAUAAGUAAAAUUUCAAAAGUUGUACAUUUCUUCAUUCUUUAUUUAGAAAUUUUAAAAUUUUAUUGUUCUUUUGAGUCAAAUUUGCAAUCCAUUGCAUUUCUUCUUCUUUCUCCCCCUUUUCUUUAUCUAUUCUUUAUUUCUCCCCUUUUUUUUCAUACUCAAAAAGUGUUUUAGUAGAAAGUACAAUCAAAAAAUAUUUUUAUCAUAAUCAAGUAUAAAUUAAUCAAUUACUCAUUCAAUCAUUCAAUUAGGC